rnacentral:rRNA from 1 species
GACGAACGCUGGCGGCGUGCCUAACACAUGCAAGUCGAGCGGAGUCGAUCGACGGAAGCCUUCGGGCGGAAGAUGGUUGACUUAGCGGCGGAUGGGUGAGUAACGCGUGGGCAACCUGCCCUUAACCGGGGGAUAACAUUGUGAAAACAGUGCUAAUACCGCAUAACAGAGUAUCGGGCAUCCGAUAUUUUAAAAGGAGCAAUCCGGUUUAGGAUGGGCCCGCGUCCAAUUAGCUAGUUGGUGAGGUAACGGCUCACCAAGGCUACGAUUGGUAGCCGAACUGAGAGGUUGAUCGGCCACAUUGGGACUGAGACACGGCCCAGACUCCUACGGGAGGCAGCAGUGGGGAAUAUUGGGCAAUGGGCGAAAGCCUGACCCAGCGACGCCGCGUGAAGGAUGAAGGUCUUCGGAUUGUAAACUUCUUUGAUCAGGGAAGAAAGAAAUGACGGUACCUGAAGAACAAGCCACGGCUAACUACGUG